AUAACGAUUGUUACAUCAGAGCAAGUACCAUUUGCGAAGUACAUCUUGACCUUCUGCUACAUCUAAAUCGUGUUACUGUGACUGCACUAUGCAUUUAGUAGCACUACUUUUUGUUGCAAAUCUCGCGUUUGCAUAUAGUUCUUUCGACAAAGAAGAUGAACUGUACCUCAUAAGAAGUGGACAUUCCAGUAAUUUGGUGUUGGAUGCAACUGACCCUAAUCAAGUAAAAAUAGAACCUUAUACUGGUUAUAGCGCCCAGUUGUGGAAAUUUGUGCGUGCAAGCAAAGCUGGUUAUUUCUAUAUUAUUAAUCACUAUACAGGUGACGCUCUUGACUACCAGUACAGACCAACACAAAAAAAUAAAUAUCUCCUCAAGUUGGCACCGCUCUCACAGAGUUCAAGACAAGAAUAUAUGAUAAACAAAAACGGCCGUCUUUCAAAUGUUUACACAGGAGAGAACAUAGACAUCGUAGAUGCUCAAUUUCGACAUGGCACAUCUGUGCAGUUAUGGGGUGACAAUGGAGACCAAGCACAGGAGUUUAAUUUACAGAAGAAAACAUAAAUGUUUGAUUUUUAUUUCAAACUUAGGUGUGUAGUUUUAACAGCACCUACUGUUUUAUCUCAUAAAAUAAAACUCUGUUAAAUACUGGGUA